rnacentral:rRNA from 1 species
GAUGAACGCUGGCGGCGUGCCUAAUACAUGCAAGUCGAGCGAACAGACGAGGAGCUUGCUCCUCUGACGUUAGCGGCGGACAGGUGAGUAACACGUGGAUAACCUACCUAUAAGACUGGGAUAACUUCGGGAAACCGGAGCUAAUACCGGAUAAUAUAUUGAACCGCAUGGUUCAAUAGUGAAAGACGGUUUUGCUGUCACUUAUAGAUGGAUUCGCGCCGCAUUAGCUAGUUGGUAAGGUAACGGCUUACCAAGGCAACGAUGCGUAGCCGACCUGAGAGGGUGAUCGGCCACACUGGAACUGAGACACGGUCCAGACUCCUACGGGAGGCAGCAGUAGGGAAUCUUCCGCAAUGGGCGAAAGCUUGACGGAGCAACGCCGCGUGGGUGAUGAAGGUCUUCGGAUCGUAAAACUCUGUUAUUAGGGAAGAACAAAUGUGUAAGUAACUAUGCACGUCUUGACGGUACCUAAUCAGAAAGCCACGGCUAACUACGUG